UACGUAGGGUGCAAGCGUUAAUCGGAAUUACUGGGCGUAAAGCGUGCGCAGGCGGUUAUGUAAGACAGAUGUGAAAUGCCCGGGCUUAACCUGGGAACUGCAUUUGUGACUGCAUGGCUAGAGUUUGGCAGAGGGGGGUAGAAUUCCACGUGUAGCAGUGAAAUGCGUAGAUAUGUGGAGGAACACCGAUGGCGCAAGGCAGCCCCCUGGGUCAAGACUGACGCUCAUGGCACGAAAGCGUGGGGAGCAAACGAGG
rnacentral:rRNA from 1 species